ensembl:snoRNA
AUCUUUUCGUAGUUCACAAGUGUGAUGAUUAGGUUUUCAGACUCAUGUGUGAGACAUGCCUUCCUCAAACCUUAUUAUGCUAUCAGCACAUUAUCUGGCGGACA